AAAGAGGAUAGAGACUCGGUUCACCAACCAAUUAAAAUGAAAGUCAUCAUUCCAAAGGCGGGGGUAAGAGACACUGCAAAUUAAAAGAGCUUUACAUGAGAAGGAGGCAGAGGGCAUGGGCUUAAUGACCACAAAUAAAAAGAAACAGCCGAGAAAUGGGGCUGUCAGUUUCUGCUUUAGCUAUCAGGAUGCAGCCAAAAAUGAAGAUAUGAACAGACUAAGCCCUUAUCCCAAAGGGGAGAGGAGCAAUGUCCAUGUGGGUAUCCCAGGAUGCUCC
rnacentral:lncRNA from 10 species